AACUUCUGAAUGUUGACCUCGAAUCASGUASGAAUASSSGCUGAACUUAAGCAUAUCAAUAAGCGGAGGAAAAGAAACCAACAGGGAUUGCCCCAGUAACGGCGAGUGAAGCGGCAACAGCUCAAAUUUGAAAUCUGGCUCUCGGGCCCGAGUUGUAAUUUGUAGAGGAUGCUUUUGGUGAGGUGCCUUCCGAGUUCCCUGGAACGGGACGCCAUAGAGGGUGAGAGCCCCGUCUGGUUGGACACCGAUCCUCUGUAAAGCUCCUUCGACGAGUCGAGUAGUUUGGGAAUGCUGCUCUAAAUGGGAGGUAUAUGUCUUCUAAAGCUAAAUACCGGCCAGAGACCGAUAGCGCACAAGUAGAGUGAUCGAAAGAUGAAAAGAACUUUGAAAAGAGAGUUAAAAAGUACGUGAAAUUGUUGAAAGGGAAGCGCUUGUGACCAGACUUGGGCUUGGUUGAUCAUCCGGGGUUCUCCCCGGUGCACUCUUCCGGCUCAGGCCAGCAUCAGUUCGCCCUGGGGGAUAAAGGCUUCGGGAAUGUGGCUCUCUCCGGGGAGUGUUAUAGCCCGCUGCGUAAUACCCUGUGGCGGACUGAGGUUCGCGC
rnacentral:rRNA from 1 species